rnacentral:lncRNA from 1 species
UUAUUACCUUCAUAUAUCAAUAUAAUUUGCUUAAUCGUAAGUGCACAAAAUUUAAAUUUUUAUAAUGGUUAUGUUUAAAAAAACAGCUUGAGCAUUUUCAAAACAUGUAAAAAUUGACUUGUAAGCUAGUGGAAACUGGCUUCAGCAUAUAGACAGGGUAAAAAUUCUCUGCCUGGAAUGGGAUGGGAUGUGGAUACGGCGAAUGUGGUAGAAGUGGUGAGCAAAUGACCCUAUUCUGGGAGACCGUGUGGGUUGUGAAUAAACACACCAACCAUCUGGAAGCUUCCAGUGGGAAUGUGUGAGCAAACAGUUGCAAACAGGCCAUGAAACACUUCUGGUUUGUUCCAAAGCCCCAUAGCUGCACCUAAAUCCUAGACAACCCUCAGCAUUGUCUCCAUGCCCCAGUGCAGCACUUUACCAAGUGGUUUUAGGUGGACUCUUUAGGUGCACAGCACCAUCGGUAGCCACAGACCUGGGCUGUGGUCUUUGCCAUCCUGAAGAGCCCAAGUGACUUUCUUGGUCCAAGGAGAAUAUGGGGCACUGUGACUAGAUCUGGUUUUAGACAAUACUACUUUGUGCUGGAGGGUCUACUCCUUUCCUGAGUGACGUUAGCAAGUAACUUCUAGGGCUCAGCUGUCUUCCCUGAAGUUCACUCAGGUCUGUUUCUUCCUGGGAUUGUGCCGACAUGAUAUGAUACAUGAGGAAUUUCUCCUCUAGUCCUUUAUAUAAUAGUGCAUUACCUACAAGGAAUUAGUUAUAAAAUCACCCCAAUUCACCACUAAUACAAGAUUAAUUAUUAAUGUGAAUAUUAUCUGUGUGAUUGAAUCAUUUCAGAGUGAAAAUCCAAAGGUCAACUGGUAAUGAAGAUGUAUCAGACAAAACGGUCCCAGCCAGUACAUAGUCAUAGUGAUAGACAAUUUCAAGGCACACUUCUGCUGGGUCCAGAAGAAUAUAAAGGGAAUAAUAAACAGAUUAUUCAGAGCAACUGAAGAAUCACAAAGUUAUAAAUGUCCAUCUUUCUAGGAAGGCAUCAUAAACAUGUGAUCACUCUCUGUAAAUGCCUGCUGAUUGAUUCGCCAAUACUUUAUUGCUGUUAUUGGGAUUUGUUUUUAAGAUAGGGUUUCUCCAUGUUGUCCAGGUUGGCCUGGAACUGGUGAUCCUCUUGCCUCAGCCUCCCUAGUACCUGGAAUUAGAGGUGUGUGCUAUUAUGCCCAGCUCCAAUUCGCUAAUAUUAAACUACAAGCUGCCUGGCUUAGGGUACUGAGAACAAGACUAGUGGUAGGAUUUUUUUUUUCCCCACUACGGAUUGAACCCAGAUGAUACAUGAUACAUGAGGAAUCCAGUGCUUCACCACUGAGCCACAUCCCCAACCCUUCUUUAUUUUUCAUUUUAAGACAGGGUCUUGUUAAGUUACUUAGGGUCUUUCUAAAUUGCUGAGUCUGGCCUUGAAUUUGUGAUCCUCCACCACCUUAGCCUUCCUAGUAGCUAGGAAUACAGGUUUGUAGCUGCCAUGCCUGGUAGCACAGGAUUUUUUAAAAAAAAUAUUUUAAUACCUUUAUUUCACUUAUUUAUUUUUAUGCAGUGCUGAGGAUCAAACCCAGGGUCUUGCACAUGCAAGGCAAGAGCUCUACCACUGAGCCCCAGCCCCAGCCCACACAGGAUUUUAAUUCAUAAAAAUGGGGAAGACCGGCCCAUGUGGUGCCACAUGCCUAUAGUCCCAGCAAGUAAGGCUUGGGAGGCUGAGGCUGGAGGAUCAUGAGUUUAAAGCCAACCUCAGCAAAAGUGUGGUUGAUGAAUUCUAAGCAACUCCAUGAAACCCUGUCUAUAACUAAAAAUACAAAAUAGGGUGGAGAUGUGGCUCAGUGGUUGAGUGCCCUUGAGUUCAAUCCCAGGUACAAUAGUGAAGACCAGUGUCUCUUUUUGUUCACAAGCAUAUAUAUUGAUACAAAAGCUUGUGUAUAUAUAUAUAUAUAUAUAUAUAUAUAUACACACACACACUCAUAUACACAUUCUCCUACAUGAUACAGUUGCUUUAUUUUUAAAAAUAUUUUUUGGUUGCAGAUGGACAUAAUACCUCUAUUUUUAUGUGGUGCUGAGCAUCGAACCCAAUGCCUCACAUGUGCCAGGCAAGCAUUCCACUACUGAACCACAAUCCCAGCCCCAGUUGCUUUAUUUAUGAUGAGGGCAUAGAUAAAACUUGCAAAAAGUGUUCUCAUACCAAAUUUCUAUUUUUCUUACCUGUAAAGUGCAAUUGAGAUCAAUCCCAUGUCUUUGUUAAAUGUUUUAAGUAUUUCUAAAUAUAGAACUUUCUAACUAUAUCAAAAUAAAUGUAAAUUGUGGCCAGGUAUGGUGGAGUACGCCUGUAAUUCCAGAAGCUCAGGAGGCUGAGGCAGGAGGAUCUCAAUUUCAAAGUCAGCUUCAAGCAACUUACUGAGGACCUAAGCAACUCAGUGAGACCCUGUCUCAAAAUAAAACAAAAGGGCUGGGAAUGCAGUUCAGUGGUUAAGUGCCCCUGGGUUCAAUGCCCAGUACAAAAAAUAGUGACACUUGAAUAUCGUGGAUAUUGCUAUACAUUUAAAAAGGCAAUACAAUUGUAAUUAUGUGGAUUAUUAUUUAACAAGGCAAAGUGACCUGUAUAAGAUCAUUUAAACGUAUGUUUCUUAGGACUCUGCUUAUAUUAUUCUCACAAAAGGUUUAAUGAAAGAUGGUAGUUGAAAAAAAUUUGUAUCAAAAUAGUUGGAAAAUUAGAAACUUCUCUUUAACCUCUGUUGAUUUAAAAAAAAAAUUUUUAGUUGUCAAUGGACCUUUAUUUUAUUUAUAUGCAGUGCUGAGAAUUGAAUCCAGUGUCUCACACAUGCUAGGCAAGCGAUCUACCUGAGCCACAACCCCAGCCCGAACCUCUGUUGAUCUUGACAAUCUUGAUCUUGAAUGUCAUCAGGGGGCUAGAGAUGUAGCUCAGUGGUGGAGUGCUUGCCUAGCACAUGUGAGGCACUGGGUUCGAUCUUCAGCACCACAUAAAAAUAGAGGCAUUGUGUCCAGAUAGAACUAAAAAGAAUGUCAUCAGUAUGCACAUUUUGUUUUUUGAUAAAAAUCUUGAUAGAAUUAUGUGAUAUUUGAAAGGAAAAAUGAAAUGGGCUGACUGGCUAUUUUCCAAACACUGUAAUUAUUCAGUUUCAUUAAGUCAGAACACCCAAAUAUAUGAUUCUCCCCUUGUGUUAUAUACUUUAACUUUCUGACUUGGCUUUUCUUUUCCAGCAGUGGCUAUCGCUUGCCUCCAAGUGCCCGGAUGGUGCCAUUCCUGUUCCCCUGCUGUAAUAAAGGGCUGGGGACUGGAGUGUGUCAAAUACUUAGAUCAAAGAGGCUUUCAAAAAGCACAAACCACACAUUUCCUUUACUCCCAGCUGAUAAUUACUGUGGGGUCCUAUUAGUCUCAGAGAUUAUUGCAGCAGAUGAACUUCUGGAUAUUUUCAGAGGAUGAGAGAUAAACAUGUGCUGGCCCCAGGAGCAAGGACCUUAAGUUCCCAUGAUGUGUUGGCCAUGAAACUGGAACUCAAGCAUCAUUGGUGACUUCUGUCUGCUCUGGGCUUAAAGGAAGUUCAAAAUAAACCAACGAACUUUUGUGAUUCACAAAGUAUUUUUGCAGUGACUGUGGAAUUCAUUGAGGUCUUUAUCAGUUUGUCAAUCAAUUGUCCCCAAUGUUAUUAUUAUUUAUCAAUCAGAUAUAACUUUCCUAUGUUCUUAUAUGAAUACACAAUCAGUGCAACUCCUCAUAUGUGCAACCACAAGAAUGGGAUCCUAAUUUGAGUAAGUUAUACACCAUAUAUGUAUAACAUGUCAAAAUACACUCUAUUGUCAUGUAUAUCUAAAAAGAACAAAUAAAAAGAUAAAAAUCAAAUUUAUAGAGGUGUAAUUUACAUACUACAAAAUGCAUACAUUUUAAAUAGACCGUUGGAUGAGUUUUAACAAAUGUAUGUACCAUGAAACCAUCACUUCAAUUAAAAUACAGAUAAUUUUUAUUACUUAAAAUAUUCCCUUGUGCUCAGUAAUAUGUGGGGAAAUGUUUACCAGCAGGGCCUUCGGGGAAAAGUGUUAUAUGUUUAAUUUUUAAUGUACUAAUAACUUAGCAUAACAAAAAUCCUGUCAAUUUUACUGAUAUAAAGCAUUUUGUAUAGGAGCUGGGGAUAUAGCUCAGUUUGUAGGGUGCUUGCCUUGCAUGUAGAAAGCCCUUGGUUUAAUCCCCAGCACCACACACACAAAAAAUAAACUGAUAAAAAAUAAAGCAUUUUGUAUAGUUUAUAAGUAAUAAAAAAUGUGGUAUUCUUUAUUGUAAAUUCCAUACAGCCAGUUGAUUAUCACAAAUGUUUUCAUUGAUUUUUGCCACUGUCUUGGAUCUAUAGCCAACCAAUGGCUGCAAUUAAUAGUAAAAUAGUGUAGUUCUGACACAAAUGUUGAUUGCGAUUUUCAUUUACUUAAAGGAGUAAGCCAAAAGUGCCACAGGAAAUGUUGGAACAUCACUUGUCAAUGACAUUAGCAACUUCUUGCCUGAAUCAGAUUGACAGUUUUUGAAUACCAGAAGAAUAUUUCCUCAGUUUUUUUUGUGCUAUUUACAACGUUAACAGCUAUAAACAACCACUCACUUUUAAGUUUAAUUGGCAUCAUAAACAUUUUUUUUCUGCUACUUUCCCAGGUCUAGACAAUUAAAGAAAAAUGAUAAAUCAAGGCCUGAUUUGUAGUGUUUACUGAUUUCCAAUACUCCCACGACCCGAUGUUACUCCAUGUGGAGUUGGGAAGAGAUGCGUACCAUUAUAUAGUAUUUCUCCCUCACAUUAACGAUAGCUCUAAAUAACCUCAAGAGCACAGGCAAUAGUAAAAUAUAGUAAAGUCAUAGUAAAGAAGAUUGGUGUGUUUAUUACCUUUGUGUAUGUGUGUGCGUGUGUGUGUGGGGUACUGGGGAUUAAAUCCCGGGGUGCUUACCUGAGCCACAUCCCCAGCACUUAUUUAUUUUUUUAAAUUUUGAGACAGGAUCAAGUUGUUUAGAGUCUCACCAAGUCGCUGAGGCUGGCCUCAAAUUUGCAAUCCUCCUGCCUCAGCCUCCCAAAUUGCUUGGAUUAUAGGCAUGUGCCUGGCAUUACCUUUGUUUUAAUAUAAUGUGUUUAAUUGUAAGUUUAAUUUUAAUAAUGUCUGCAGUCAACAACCAGCUCACCAACAUUCCGAAAAUUUAACAAUGGGCUCAUCAUCCAGUAGGAACUGGCUCCAGUAUACCACUGCUUAUGCCCCUCUCCAAUCCAGCCCCACACCACUGCAAGCUCCAGACUACUGGUCAUCUAAUUCUAACCCUACUUAUCAAUACUGUGAGUUAUCGAACCUCAGAUAAAGAGAAUUCUACAGUACAAAUUCCUUUGUCAGUGAAAUAGUUUGCUUAGCAAAAUGUUGUGUGAUGAGCAGCUGUUUAUUUUGUUGUGGAAAAGAAUUCCAUUACAUGAAUACACCAAAGCUCUUUUGCUCAUUCACUGGUUGAUGGAUAUCUGCAUUAUUUCCAGAUUUGGCAAUUUCAAGUAAAGGUGUGGUGAACAUUUGUGUCAAGUCUUUGUGUAGCUAUAGCUUUAUUCCUCUUGGUUAAACACCCAGGAACUAAAUUGUGGGUCCUUUUAUAAGUACAUUUUUUAAGUUUAUAAGAAACUGUUAAAUGGUCUCCCAAAGUAGUUGCAUUAUUCAUUCCACAUCCCCACCAGCAGUUGAGGUGCUCUGAUUGGUUGACAUCCUCAAUGUUUUGAAUUGUCUGCCUUUUAAAAAUGUUUUUGGUUUGUUUGGUACCAGGGAUGCUUAACCACUGAGCCACAUCCCUAGCCCUUUUUAUGUUUUAUUUAG